CUCUCCUACAGUUUUUUUACCCGUAAUUUUUCUUUUUCAUCCUUUUUGGAGCCAAGUUUAAACAACUGCAAGGGACAAGCCGUCAUCCAGCGGAUGCUUGGGGCAUCGGACCGGACCGUCUGACAUCCUUCUACUUCUCCUUCAUCCAAGUGCUGCUGCUGCUGUAAGUUCAAGACGAAAAGAAAACUCUUGCCAGCUGCUGGGGACAAUGGACAAUGGCAGCCAAUUAAUGCUUUUUGGGUGAGUCUUACAGAAAGGGAAGUACGACGAGUACUUGAACAGAUAGUAUUAGAGAUUCUUUUAUGCCUGACUAUAUUUUGUAUUUUUUGUAUUUCAGAGAUAGCAAUUUAUAAAUCAAUAAACCUAAGAUUACAGCAUUUGGUAUCUAUGUUAAUCUGUUUAUCAUUUUAGGCGAGAACAAAAUAUCUACAGAAUUAUUAUUCGUUCAAUGAUAAAUCUAAUUCCAGUUAAGCAGACCUCCAACCCCACUGUACAGUACACACUAAACCUCAUGGAGUUGCCUUGGCUAGAUUACUUUUUGCAGUUUACCCAAAACAACUGCAGCGCAUAA